GUGUUCCUACUCAUUCAUCCCUGGGUGGGGAUUGGGUGCAUUACUUGUGUCCUGUGUGAAGUAUUGCACUUGUCCCGGCCUGUGGAAGAAAGGAGGAUCGUAUCUUC
rnacentral:pre_miRNA from 1 species